rnacentral:misc_RNA from 1 species
GAUGAAGAACGUAGCGAAAUGCGAUAAGUAAUGUGAAUUGCAGAAUUCAGUGAAUCAUCGAAUCUUUGAACGCACAUUGCGCCCCCUGGUAUUCCGGGGGGCAUGCCUGUUCGAGCGUCAUUUCACCACUCAAGCCUCGCUUGGUAUUGGUCAACGCGGUCCGCCGCGUGCCUCAAAUCGACCGGCUGGGUCUUCUGUCCCCUAAGCGUUGUGGAAACUAUUCGCUAAAGGGUGUUCGGGAGGCUACGCCGUAAAACAACCCCAUUUCUAAGGUUGACCUCGGAUCAGGUAGGGAUACCCGCUGAACUUAAGCAUAUCAAUAAGCGGAGGA